UACGUAGGUGGCAAGCGUUGUCCGGAAUUAUUGGGCGUAAAGCGCGCGCAGGCGGUCUUUUAAGUCUGAUGUGAAAUCUUGCGGCUCAACCGCAAGCGGCCAUUGGAAACUGGGAGACUUGAGUGCAGAAGAGAAGAGCGGAAUUCCACGUGUAGCGGUGAAAUGCGUAGAGAUGUGGAGGAACACCAGUGGCGAAGGCGGCUCUUUGGUCUGUAACUGACGCUGAGGCGCGAAAGCGUGGGGAGCGAACAGG
rnacentral:rRNA from 1 species